AGGUGUGAUCAUACCAGCACUAAUGCACCAGAUGCCAUCAGAACUCUGCUGUUAAGCAUGCUUGGGAGAAUGUAUUACUAGGAUGGGUGGCCUCCUGGGAAUUCCUCAUGUUGCACCUC
rfam:Lupinus angustifolius cultivar Tanjil contig_1779, whole genome shotgun sequence.